rnacentral:rRNA from 1 species
GACGACCGCUGGCGGCGUGCCUAAUACAUGCAAGUCGAACGCAGUGGGGACGGGUGAGUAACACGUGGGUAACCUCCCCUCAGCGCGGAUAACACUUGGAAACAGGUGCUAAACCGAUAUUGUUGGCUGGACCCGCGGUGCCUUCGCUAGUUGGUGAGGUAACGGCUCACUAAGGCAACGAUGCAUAGCCGAGCCGGGAGGGUGAUCGGCCACAAGCGGACGGAGACACGCCCCAGAUGCCGACGGGUGGAAGAAGUAGUGAAUCGGCGGCAAGGGACGAAAGUCUGACCGAGCAACGAUGCAUGAGUGAAUAAGGUUUUCGGAUCGUAAGACUCUGUUGUUAGAGAAGCGGAAUUUAACCAGAAAGCGACGGCUAACUACGUGCCAGCAGCCGCGGUAAUAG